rnacentral:rRNA from 1 species
GAUCCUGGCUCAGGAUGAACGCUGGCGGCGUGCCUAAUACAUGCAAGUCGAACGGGUGUAGCAAUACAUUAGUGGCGAACGGGUGAGUAACACGUUGGUGACCUGCCCUAAAGAGGGGAAUACCACUUCGAAAGGAGUGACAAAACCGCAUAAGCUGAUGCUAGUUAGAGAGGCAUUAGUAAAAGAGCAAUCUACUUUAGGAGGGGCCUGCGGCCCAUCAGCUAGUUGGUGAGGUAAAAGCCCACCAAGGCGAAGACGGGUAGGGGACCUGAGAGGGUGAUCCCCCACAAUGGAACUGAAACACGGUCCAUACACCUGCGGGUGGCAGCAGUAGGGAAUAUUGCUUAAUGGGCGAAAGCCUGAAGCAGCAACGCCGCGUGAACGAAGAAGGCCUUCGGGUCGUAAAGUUCUUUUAGGUGGGAUGAGGAAGGACAGUACCACCAGAAUAAGUCUCGGCUAACUACGUGCCAGCAGCCGCGGUAAAACGUAGGAGACGAGCGUUAUCCGGAUUUACUGGGCGUAAAGCGCGUGUAGGAGGCGCUACAAGUUGGAUGUGAAAGCUCCCGGCUUAACUGGGAGAGGUCGUUCAAGACUGUAGAGCUAGAGUGAGGCAGAGGUAGAUGGAACUCCGGGAGUAGUGGUGAAAUGCGUAGAUAUCCGGAAGAACACCAGAGGCGAAAGCGAUCUACUGGACCUAAACUGACACUGAGACGCGAAAGCCAGGGUAGCAAACGGGAUUAGAGACCCCGGUAGUCCUGGCCGUAAACGAUGUAGACUGAGCGUUGGUUGGAUAAAACCGAUCAGUGCUGAAGCAAACGCGAUAAGUCUACCGCCUGGGGAGUACGGUCGCAAGAUUAAAACUCAAAGGAAUUGACGGGGGCCC